rnacentral:rRNA from 1 species
AGCAGUAGCCGCGGUAAUACGAGGGGUGCAAGCGUUAUUCGGAUUGAUUGGGUGUAAAGGGUGUGCAGACGGCUUAUUAAGUCACUUGUUAAAUUCUUCGGCCUAACUGAAGGUCUGCAAGUGAUACUGAUGAGCUAGAGGGUGGAAGAGAGAAGUGGAAUUCUCGGAGUAGCGGUAAAAUGCGUAGAUCUCGAGAGGAACACCAAUGGCGAAGGCAGCUUCUUGGUCCAUUCCUGACGUUCAUACACGAAAGCGUGGGGAGCAAAUGGGAUUAGAUACCCCAGUAGUCCCUGUCUCUUAUAC